GACGAACGCUGGCGGCGUGCUUAACACAUGCAAGUCGAACGGAAAGGCCCUGCUUGCAGGGUACUCGAGUGGCGAACGGGUGAGUAACACGUGGGUGAUCUGCCCUGCACUUCGGGAUAAGCCUGGGAAACUGGGUCUAAUACCGGAUAGGAGCCAUUUUUAUUGUGAUGGUUGUAAAGUUUUUUCGGUGUGGGAUGAGCUCGCGGCCUAUCAGCUUGUUGGUGGGGUAAUGGCCUACCAAGGCGGCGACGGGUAGCCGGCCUGAGAGGGUGGACGGCCACAGUGGGACUGAGAUACGGCCCAGACUCCUACGGGAGGCAGCAGUGGGGAAUAUUGCACAAUGGGCGCAAGCCUGAUGCAGCGACGCCGCGUGGGGGAUGACGGCCUUCGGGUUGUAAACUCCUUUCGCUAGGGACGAAGCUUUUUGUGACGGUACCUAGAUAAGAAGCACCGGCUAACUACGUG
rnacentral:rRNA from 1 species